UGGAGUAGGAUCAGUCUGUAAUGGUCUCUGGCUAUCAACUGCUGGCCGCCUUCCUUCUGCGCUUCCCUGAGCUGCAAUGUUCUCUUACAGCCAUGGCCCAUCCAGUUCCAGCAGAGAGGAUGCAGCGAUGGUAACACUGUGGCCAAGUUGCUAGCUGGGUGGCUCCAGCCUAUUUGGUAGCAAAGGACUGGGGCAGUCCCGCGGCUCCCUGUGCUGGGGGGUUUACAUGGAAAGAUUCGCUGCUCAGGGCAGAGGUGUAAACCUUAGCAGCUCUGCCUUCCAGAAGGAAAAAGCAUCUCUCCUGCUUUAGAAAAAAACAGAACCUUCAACAAAACAGAGGGGAGGGGAAAAAACCCCAACCCCACUGGAAGUAAUUUAUUUUUUCUUAUUGGCUGGGAUCAAGAAGGGGGGAGAGGAAAAUUGGACCUCCCCAAACAGCGUCACUGUCAUCAUCACACUGGUAUCUCUUGAGAGAUGAAGAAGUUCUUUGAUUCACGUCGGGAGCAGGGAGGCUCUGGCCCAGGUUCGGGAACCAGUGGAGGAAGUGGAAGCAGCACCGGCCCAGGGAGUGGGUACAUUGGCCGGGUGUUCAAUAUUGGGAGGCACCAGGUGACGGUGGAUGAAGUGCUGGCGGAAGGUGGAUUUGCGAUCGUAUUUCUUGUGAGGACUAACAAUGGGAUGAAAUGUGCUUUGAAACGAAUGUACGUCAACAACGAACACGAUCUGCAGGUCUGCAAAAGAGAGAUUCAGAUCAUGAGGGAUCUAUCUGGACACAAGAAUAUUGUUGGAUACAUCGAUUCUAGUAUAAAUUCAGUGAGCAGUGGUGAUGUGUGGGAAGUUCUGAUUCUCAUGGACUUUUGCCGAGGGGGCCAAGUGGUGAAUCUCAUGAACCAGCACUUGCAGACUGGCUUCACGGAGAGUGAGGUCCUGCAAAUCUUCUGCGAUACCUGUGAAGCCGUAGCCAGACUGCACCAGUGUAAAACGCCAAUUAUUCACAGGGAUCUAAAGGUUGAAAAUAUCCUGCUACAUGAUCGCGGCCAUUAUGUCCUGUGUGACUUUGGAAGCGCCACCAACAAAUUCCAGAACCCUCAAACCGAAGGAGUGAACGCGGUCGAAGAAGAGAUCAAAAAGUACACAACACUAUCGUAUAGAGCACCAGAAAUGGUCAACCUGUAUAGCGGCAAACUUAUUACUACAAAAGCAGACAUAUGGGCCCUUGGCUGCUUACUGUACAAAUUGUGCUAUUUCACUUUACCGUUUGGUGAAAGUCAGGUGGCCAUCUGUGAUGGGAACUUCACCAUUCCAGACAACUCGCGCUACUCCCAGGACAUGCAUUGCCUCAUCCGGUAUAUGCUUGAACCAGAUCCUGACAAGAGGCCCGAUAUUUACCAAAUCUCAUACUUCGCUUUCAAGCUAGUAAAGAGAGAGUGCCCAGUUCAGAAUGUACAGAACUCUCCACUUCCAGCUAAGCUCCCAGAACCAGUGAAAGCUAGUGAAGCUGCUGCAAAGAAGAGCCAGCCAAAGGCCAGGCUGACAGAUCCUGUUCCUACAACAGAAACGUCCAUUGCUCCACGCCAGAGACCCAAAGCUGGGCAGACGCAACCCAACCCUGGAAUCCUACCCAUCCAACCUGCCUUGACCCCUAGAAAGAGGCCUACAGCCCAGGCAGCCAUUCAGCCACAAGUUGCAGGACCCGCUGCACUGAGCAGUGGCCAGCCCUCGCUUUCUGCAAGCAUUGCACAGCCAAAAGCACCACCUCAGCCAGCUGCACCUCAGCCGAAGCAGGCCCCAGUUCCCCAACAGGCACCACCAGCCCAGCCCCAAGUCCCUUCCACGCCGCCGCAGGCCACACCACAGCACCAGCAGCAGCUCUUCUUGAAACAGCAGCUCCUGCAGCAGCAGCAACAGCAGGCUGCAUAUUAUCAACAGCAGCAACAGCAGAUGAUGCAGGCACAACAGUUCCCAGUAAUACCGCAGGCAGUGCCAGCACAGCAGCAACUGAUGCAGAACUAUUAUCAGCAGCAGCUGAUAGCACAGCAAGCCUCCAUGCAGCAGAAGACGGCGGUGGCUGCAGUUCAACAAAAACAACAGGCUCCGAUGCCCCCUCAGCCCCAGGUGCAGCAAACUGCCACCCAGCCAGCACCUGCCCAGGAACAAGUGAUGCAGGCACCGAUCAGACAACAGCAAAAGCCUCAAACCACCCUACCGUCAGCUGUCCAGGGGCAGAAGGUGGGCUCCCUCACCCCUCCGUCCUCCCCAAAGACACAGCGUGCUGGGCACAGGAGGAUCUUAAGCGACGUGACGCACAGUGCCGUUUUUGGGGUGCCAGCCAGCAAAUCUACCCAGCUCCUGCAGGCAGCAGCCGCAGAGGCCAGUCUAAACAAGUCCAAGUCAGCCUCGACCACACCCUCUGGCUCCCCCAGGACCUCUCAGCAGAAUGUUUACAACCCACCAGAUGUUUCCACGUGGAACCCAUUUGAUGAUGACAAUUUCUCCAAGCUGACGGCCGAGGAGCUGCUGAACAAGGACUUUGCCAAACUGAGUGAUGGUAAAGCUCCAGAAAAGGUUGGCAAUUCUACAGAGAAUUUGAUUCCAGGCUUCCAGCCGGCUCCCUCAACAACCCAGGCAGAUGCUUUUGGUUCCUCUUCCUUCGCAGCUGGAUCAGCUGAAAAAACGAAAGAUAUUCUGAGUUUGGACACUAGCCCUCCGCUUCUGACUGUGCCUGAUCCUUUCGUUUCUCUUCCAUUAUCCGACACACCAGAAAAACUGAUUGAAGGUCUCAAAUCUCCUGAGACUGCGCUUCUGCUCGCUGAUAUCCUGCCUCUUGCUGACCCCUUCGGUAGCACCUCAGAUGCUGUGAAUGGAAAAGCUGAAAUAGCUGUUGAGAGUCUCAUACCCGGCCUCGAGGCUCCAUUGCCCCAGCGCCUUGCUUCGCAGACCGACUCCGUCACUUCUAAUAGAACAGAAGAUACUAAUCUGAUAUCAGGCUUUGAUGCACCUGAGGGCUCUGAGAAAGUGACAGAAGAUGAGUUUGACCCCAUCCCAGUGUUGAUAUCCAAAAAUUCACAAGGUGGGCAUUCUAGAAACAACAGUGGAAGCUCUGAGUCAAGUCUUCCCAACAUAGCCAGGUCUUUACUGCUGGUGGAUCAGCUCAUAGACCUGUAGCAGUGACCCCGUAGCAGACGCAGUUUCUGUAAAGUACCUAAUCUACGUUUUCAUUUCCAGAGGAGUUAACCUUCAGUUGCAUUUUCUUUUUCUUUUCUUUUCUUUUUUUUUUUUUUUUUUUUUUUUUAAUUAAAAAUAAAAAAAAUCUACCAACAGGCUUUUUCCCCCUGUUCUCAUAUCCCAGGAAAGAAUUCAGUUUCUGUCCUCCAGAUAGUUGUUUUACAGCGCAUUCCUGGCACAACCUGCUGUGGUUCCUUACGCACCUGUCUUUACUAGCCUGUGUCUAAGGAGAGCACUACUUGUCAUUUGCCACUCUGCUGAAAUUUUAUACAUAGCUUCACUGAAAGCUUAACUGUAAAUGAAUUAGUUAACUGUAGCCUAAUGUAUGAACCUUGCUAGAAACAGCAUUCCUUUUUCCUUAAGCGAGAGUGCUGACUAAGGUGUGAUAUCAUUUGGGUUUUUCCUGAUCAAUGGGCAAAAGGAAAAGAAGAGAGAAAAUCACUAGAGCUGUCCCUCUCCUGUAGGAGACAGGUUAGGGAAAAUGUUUUUAAACUGGCACUAUAUGCCGGAGAAGAAAAAAAAUUGGAAAGCUGCAUAGAGCUUAAGGUAAUCAUGUAUAUUGAGAGAGUUUUCCACACCCCAGCUAAAGGUUUGCUGUUAUCAAUCCUGCUUAUGAAUGGACUGCGCUUUCUCAGUAAAAAUAAAAAUAAAUUAUUCAAGCUGCAAGAAUGACCCCAAAUUAAGCAUUUCACAAAUUGGAACUAAGUAAAUGUGAGUGUGGCUGUGAUAGCUUUGUGUUAAUUUAACUUCCGGCUGAAAAGGGCAUUUGUGGCAACAACAGAUGUAUUCUCUUGUGAUUUUUUUUUUUUUUGGUUUUUUUGUUUGUUUUUUUUUGGUGUUUUAGAUAAAAUACUGUAAAUGGUGUACAAACCAAAUUGUCCAGCAGUUGUUUGUGUUUUGUUUUUAAUCCUGGCUUUAGUCAAAAGUCCGGUAUCUGUUUUGGGUUUUCCCUUGUAACUACAAAAAGUGCAACACAGUUAAGUAUGGAACCAUUUUUCAGUAGACAGAAGUUACUGUAUACUUUAUUCAAAUUUUCAGUCUUUGUAGAACAAGCAUGUAGUCAGCUUAGACGGUCUGAAAUGAGUGCUGGCAAGCUCAGUGAUACUUGAUGGUAUUUACCUUUUACUUUUUUUACCUGAACAUGCUUAGUUUUUUCAACUAACCAGAUAAGCUAAACUUGUUUCCAUUGGCUUAUGAUCAUAACAUCCAGAGUUUCCAUCAUAUAUUUAAAAAUCAUUUCUAAAUAGAAGGACUCUUCCUCCUAUAGUGGAGUCAUUGCUAGCUUACUGCUAACCUUGUGUAUGUGUAUGUAGCUGUAUUAGUAAAAGUGCAGUUUCCCAUGUGCGAAAGUAUGAAUGACUAAAUUAUAUAUGUACUGACCUCUCCCUGAGAGGAAAAGACAGUAAGUCCAUGAGUAUUUCUCUCCUAUUUCCAGUUUUCCCCACACCAACGUUUAGUUUAACAAAUUCUGUAAAUAGGACUAACCAUUAAUAGUGUCUGCUGUCCAUUAAUCUUCUUUUAAAAUCUACACUUAAUAAUAAAAGUAUUGCUUAAGUGUGUUGUAUCAUUACAUGUGUAUACUGCACUUUCCAGGAGAAGCUUUACAUGAGAAGAAUGGAAAUGAUCUUAGUAAAAUUGUUGAUAGAAUUUUAUUAUUUUUUUGGUUGUUGUUGUUUUUUAUUAUUCCUAAAGCACAGGCAAAUUGGACUGGAAAACAUGAAAAAGAUUUAGAUAGAAAGUUAUUGUAUAGUCAGAUACUGAAAAUAUAUGAAAAGAGAAUGGAUUUUAAAAAAGUAACCAUCUACUGUAUAUUAGAAACCAAGAGAUUUGUGUGAAUUAAAGUACUUUUAAAGAAUGUUUAAGAUUUUAAAUCUGAUAGAACUUGUUCAAGGGUUCUCGAAGCAAACCUAUAAAGGCACUGGGUUGUUAAUAAUGUCAUUAAAUAAGCAGAUGUGAAUGUUCUUUUUACUGUUUUUGAAGUAGCUCUUCAUGGUUUAGGGAAGGGAACACAAAACAAAUCAAUGGAAACUUCACACCUUUUAAUAAGGUCUAUGAUUAGCCCCAGGUAUAAGACACGACUUGCCACUGAUAAGUAAAUGUUCCAAAAGAGAACUGUGGAAUACUUGAAGUAGGAAGACUGUAGCUAAUUUUAAAAGAGGUGGGAGAUUAAUUUUUAAAUGGAUGAAACUAUCCUCAGCCUGCACAUUAGGUUAGAAGGCACAAAGAGCCCAGUAGAGACCACACAAAACCAACUGUUAUCCAGUCUCCGUACCAAAAAAGACUGGUGCAUAUGAUGGCAUAAAGGUACAGGGUUACUUAAUACCAUCAAGAUGGUUCGUUGUGGUUAUUACUGUAAGAGAGGGAGCAAGUCAAAUGCUUUACAUUUGUGAUAAAUAAGGUAUGGGUUUGUUUGUUCCCUAAAAAGAUAGUGGGGGCAGCUGUUUUUCUUGGAUGAAUAGCAGUCUUUGAGAAGCCGUGUUUACACAUGAGGAUGAUGAAGGAAUCAUCUUAUCCUGACACCCUUGAGUUACUAACACAACUCUUGGCCUUAGCUUAUUUGGAUGGAUUCUUCUACCAGGAUUCAACAUUUACCAAGGCAGCCACUGUACAAAGUAAUGCCAACUCCUCUGUAACAACAGGGGUUAAACUUAUUCCUUUAUCCACAUCUUGUUUUCAGGCGAGGCUUUUAAAAGAUACUAAUGGAAGCUGGAGGCCCAGUCCUACGGUUUUCCAACAGAAAUAGAGUAACUAACUGCCUUUGGUAAUCAAGAAUCUCUUUUUAGUUCUUGUCUACAUUAGUGGAAAAAACAUCACACAUUCACGCAAUGCAGAGGUCAGUAAAGUGAAGUAUUUUGGGUUUGUCAGAGGAAAUAAUGUUUUGAAUACCUGCUGCAGCGAAAAUGCAUCCGUCUCGAAUAAGAGCCAUUAAUGCUUUUAAAUCUGUUAAUUACAAAGACGAUUAAGUCAGGUUGUGGUCACAUACGUGAAGGAAGCAUAUUUUAGAACCUUUAAUUUUGCACUAGGAGGAAACUUAUUUGUGGACGUUCAAGGUGCCUUGCAGAUUGAGUUGGCAAACUUGAACUCGAUUAAAAGAGUCCAUCAAAAUGAGUGAAUGUCUCUUCCAUUUGGAAAUGUGCUGUUUGUAUACAGUUAAGGGGGGGGGGGGGGGAAAAGUGCAAAAUGUAAAUACCUCCUUGGAAGAAAGGAGAGAGGACUUCAAACUAAAGGCUCAAAAUCUUGAAAUCACCAUUUCGGCUUCUAUGUUAAUAGGAUUUGGGAAGGUCCCAUCCCUUGGGUUUUUCUCCAAAGCCAAACGGAAAACAUGCAGAGCCACCAACAAGCUAAAACUGUUUCAAACUAGCAGGUAACUAGGUUUGGGAAUAGUGGGAUUAAUUACUGCACUAGAGGCCUUUAAAUAGAUAUACAAGAGAAAAUUGUCUCAUGGGAUUAAGUUAACUUUUGUCCAAAAGACCAACAUAAAGUUAUGCACCACUUGGAGCCUUUUGUAGGGACUUCAGUGGUGCAUAAGGCUUGUGCCAGCACUUGCCAAGGGAAGGAAUUUAGACCAUAAUAAGCCCACUUGGCUUUCUCUGAAGCAGUUGCAGCCUGUUCAUCCAAAGUGAACAAUGAAAUACAACUUGGUUGUUGUACCUGAAGCUGAAAAACAUUAGCAUCUUUCUAGAGACAAUCUAGUAGGCUUGAUUCUCCAGUUUCCUGCAGUCACGUUUGUACCCAGUGGGUAUAGAAUUCUACCUGGUUAAAAAGUAUUAUGCACUGCAGUUACUCGCUGUGCAUCUGAGUAACUGGUUUUACAAGAUGCCAGACAAUUGAGAAUCAAAUCUAGUAUCUCUGGCAUUCUGGCCAAGAGGACAGAGCACUGGACUGGCAGCCUAGGGACCUGGCUUUUGUUCUCUACUCUGCUGCUCAUCAGCCCAGUGACUGUGGACAAGUUACUGCAAGAUUGUAUCUGAACUUCCUCAUCUGUGACAGAGUACUAAUGACCCAGACCUCCUUCAGAAACCGCUUUGAGAUCCAUUGAUAAAGAGCACUAGAGAAGAUCUGGGUGUUCUUUUACAAAUUCCACUCCUUUGUUUUUAGCUUUGAUAGGCAAGGGAAGUACAAGCGCGAGGAAAGACAUCUACCCUCUGUUAAAUGAAGGGAAAUUUUGAUUGUCAGGUCAUGGCUAAACCAGACCAGUAGUCACAUGCAUCAACUACCAUGUCACCUUUAAUCAGUCAUCCUCACAUGCAAGCAUCUCCGUGGCUUUGCACAAAAUUAUCCUACGGAAAGGCCAUCUCAGCAGCUGGACAUAUAUACCCUCUGCUCUUUCCAAGGUUCUUGUCCUUAAGAUCUAAUUCAGAGCUCAUUCAUGUCCAUGAAAAGGCUCCUGCUAUCUGGACUGGAUCAGACCCUCACAGAUGACUGAAAAAGAUGGUCCAGGGUAUGAUUUGGCUUUUUGGUGUAAAUCCCAUCCAUAUCUUUCGGUCACUGUGCAAUGUUCUUUAUAAAAAGAAGAUACAAAAAUCCUCAAGUGUCUAUAUUCUAACCUGUGAGAAGAUGCUAUUUCUUCCAUCCCAUUCGCCAUACUAAUCUAUAGAUAUUACAGGUUUUAUCUCUUGCUAACCUAUGCAAAAUAUAGUAGUUUCAAAGCAGCGGCAAUUACUUAAGAGUUCAUUUCUUUUUGUCAACACUUAUUGCAGCUAAGUGAACUGUAUCUGCAGUAUUGUGCAGCUCCUGGUGUAUCGCAUGAUGUAUAUUUUCAAUAUGUACCUUCCUUCUGAAGAAAGUAAAACAAGUGCAUGUACUUGGGGAAAAGCUUUAGUGCAGAUGCUUAACAGCUGAAAACAUUUCUGCGCAACGACUGCAUUAAAGGGGAGUGGGAGUGUGGAAAUGUAAUUCUGUAAGAACAGAAGAAUUACCUUAUGUAAAUCUUCUACAGAAUAAAGUCUUUACUAUUAUUAAUGAGCAUGCUUAGAAAUGUAAAUAUAACUUCACAGAUUAGGGUCAUUCUGAGGGGGUAACAUGCAGCAGCUGCCCACUGGCAGCACCCUGCCUCAUGUGCUCACGUGUUAGGAGUCCCAGCUCUUGGCAACAUGAGGUUGAGAGCAUCCCGUUUUGUACAGCUUCAGUAAAAAUAGCUACUGAACUUCUGGUCACUCGCAGAUAUUAGGCAUGUUUGUAAAAAUGCAUGCAGCUUUCAAGCUUCUUUGGUUGGUUAGCACUGCUUACUGUAGAUGGGAGCUAUGUCAUGAAAUGGCAGGGCCAGGACCACAAAGGGGGCAGGGCAGGGGUUUCUUAGCCUGUCUUUUAUGUUCUCACCCACCAUCCCUGCUUGUAGAAUGAGCCUUUCCAUCUUCCAGCCAUGACAGAAUGAGAUAGAUGCAUUCCAGGGAAACAGCAUUCACAUCAGUUUCCUUGACCUUGGAUGGGACAUGUUGGAGAAUUUGCUGUUUAAGGGACCAUGAGCACUGGCUAACUUAAAUUACCCACUUCCUUUAACACCCAUGUUGCAUGCUUCUCACAGCAAUAAAUUGGCUGUAGUGUGGUCCAGGUAUAAGAAUCCACCUGUGCCUUUCAUCUUCCUGUCAUCCUUGUUAAAUCAUCCCCAUACAUUAUGCAGACCUUUAUUCUUGGGUGCUUCAGACUCUGAGCUUCACUGUACCCAGUGUAAGUCAUUGGCAUACUGAAAUCAUUAUUUUAAAUAUCUGUGAGAAUAGAGCCCUUGUCCUCUGAUUAACAAAUGCAUGGUAUCUGGAGAGACCUGCCCCUACUUUUUGUUUUCCAGGUGUUUUGUAUGUUGCAAUUCUUGUUGUACCUUCCACCAGCUGUUCUGGGCAUAAGGUGAAACUGGUCCUUGGGCAGAUGGCUAGGGCAAGAUCCGAGCCACCCUUAAACUUGCAUUUUGCAGAAUAAUGUAUAGCCUUUUCCUGGUCUUCUGGACCUCUCAAAACCCACGCAGGCAUUACAUGUACAGUGGAUAUCAAGAAGAAUGUCUGCAUGUGUUGCUUGUCCUAAAAAAGGGUUCUUUGGGCAUGGACUGAAAGUUUUGCACUAGGGGGCUAUUUUUUAUAGCCCGUAGUUGGGAACACAACAGAUAACAAAGACAGUCGGCGCCAAAUCAUGCUUGCAUCCAAUGCGUGGCAAUAACCAUUCUGCCUGUUACAUGGUACCCUGUAUAUUCACACUAGUUGUUGCUAUUUUGCUACGGUCCUUAACCAAUUGGGGUUCAUAUUAUAUUAUAUUAUACGUUUCCCCAACUCUAGUUCUUACCUUUUGCAUACAGAUUGUAAUCUAUGAUGGUAGCGUCAAGCUUAGUAUUCAUUAGGCAACUUAUGCUAUUGGGGGAAGAAUGAUUUAUUCUGAUCAAGUGAUUCAGGUACAGUGGCAAUGGUGUGCUAGUGAAAUAAUGGAUAGCCGGUUUGCAUUCAUGUUAUAUGCAUGGCACAUGCUCCCCUCUUUCCUUCUCUUAUUUGCCUGUAUGCUUUGUUCCAGGGUAACCAGAUAACUAAAACAAACAAAAAAACGCACCUUGGCAUGAUGUGGCAAUCUUACUGGCUCUUUUUUUCUGCCUUUGUUUUAAAAUCAUGCGAUAAUGUCCAGCUCAGGAAUUUCGUGAAUAAACAGCCAACCUCUUGAAAGGGAAAAAAUAAUUUAGGUCGUCUUAUUUCUAUAGUCAAACUAAGAAUAGCACGAAAGCUUAAGGCACUUCUGAAAACGUAGGCUUCAGAGAAGAUAGAUAGUAUUUUUGUACAAUAACUUAUAAAAUGCUCAUCUAUAGCUACACUGUCUUCACUUUGCAGUGUAAUGUAUCUAAGUUAAUACUUUCCCAAUAAAAAAAUCAUUUUGAUGCUUACUAAAGAGUGUGUGUCUUUUUAAUUUUAAGAAAUGGCUGACAAUGAGUGAACUAGCAUAAAUACACAUAACUUAUAAAGGAAGAUUUUAGAACUUGGAGUGUGUGUAUGUUAAAAAGUUUAAUCUGAGCAGUGUGUGGAGAUUGUUUUGUAAUUGUGUGAAACUGAAAGACAUGUUUUGUAUAGAAGUAAAGGGAAAAGUGUUUAGAGCAUCAUUCUGUCCUGUCACUCAGUAGAUAUCACAUACCAAAAUGCAAAUCUUUUUGUCUGGAAUCUAUACUGCCUAGUUUUCAUGUGCCUUUUUCCUAUCCUCUUGCUAACAUGAGUCCAAUGACAUGCUUCUAACCUGCUAAUAGUUCUCUGAAGGUAAGAUAUCUUGUAUUCUGAUAACUGUCUGUGUGAUUCAUAAGGCAAAGGUAAGCCUAUUCUUGGGCUCUGGUAACUAGAGAAUAGCAGGAUAGUAAGCCCCUCUUUCUGCCUUGUUGGUUUGAUUUUACUUAACAUGUAGAACCAAGCCAAUCUAUCAUAAUAAUCCUAGAUACUUCACUUAGAAUCAGUAUAUCGGGUUGUUUCAACUCAUACUCUUGCAGUGACUCCAGUGGCACUGCUAAAAUUACCAGAUCGGUGAAAAUAAUCUUUGGAAUACCUUGCUGAAGGAUAUAUAUACUUACCUUUAAGCUUGUGCUAUGCUAACAGAUCGGAGGUGCCACAGUGCAUUUUACAUGCCCUAGUGCAAGAGCUCAUGGAAGUUCAAGGUAGCUCCCAAGAGCACAGACUAUGCCAAGUAAUAAAUACCUGCUUGUAGGUAGCUCCUGUGCCAACAGGCAGCUGCAGCGAAUGAAUGAAUGAAUGAAUGAAUGAAUGAAUGAAACAACACUACUACUAACUGUCCAGUCACUGGUAUUUCACUCCAGACAGUAGCAUCAUGAAAUAAAGGCCAUGUUGCAGGUGGCACUUAAAGUUCCUUGUAGAACGGUGUCAAACAGGAAUGUUUGAGUUUGGGCGCUUGUGUCUCUAACAUCUUCCAUCUCUUUCUAACACCUUGUAUUUGUGCUGUCCUGAUCUGUGAGGAAGUGCUGAGUUGUGUUCCAGUUUGUGUGCAGCAAACACUUCAGUUCAUUGUUUCCUUUUCUUUUAAAUUAUCUUUCCUUCUCAUUUUCCAUGUAUGGUGGUGGUUUAACUGAGCAUCAUAGCAUUUCCAGUGCAGUUCACUUUUUAUUUCAUAUGUGUUAAUGACAAAGAGAAUUUAGUGGAGUUAUGAGUAACACUCUUGUUUUGCGCUCC